GACGAACCGUGCGAACGUUGUUCGGAAUCACUGGGCUUAAAGGGCGCGUAGGCGGUCAAUCAAGUCCGGGGUGAAAUCGUUCGGCUUAACCGGACAAGUGCCUUGGAUACUGAUUGGCUGGAGGGAGGUAGGGGCAGCUGGAACUUCCGGUGGAGCGGUGAAAUGCGUUGAUAUCGGAAAGAACACCAAGGGCGAAGGCACUCUGCUGGG
rnacentral:rRNA from 1 species